UACGGAGGGUGCAAACGUUGCUCGGAAUCAUUGGGCGUAAAGCGCACGUAGGCGGUCCAGCAAGUCGGGUGUGAAAGCCCUCGGCUUAACCGAGGAAGUGCAUUCGAAACUACUGGACUUGAAUACUGGAGAGGAUCGCGGAAUUCCCGGUGUAGAGGUGAAAUUCGUAGAUAUCGGGAGGAACACCAGUGGCGAAGGCGGGUCUCUGGGCCGAUACUGACGCUGAGGAGCGAAAGCAUGGGUAGCGAACAGG
rnacentral:rRNA from 1 species